UUACUUACUUGGACGGGGUCAAUGGAUCAAUAAGGCUCAUGGCCUAGAUCAGUGGCUCACAUUCCACAUGAUGAAUGCGUUGAUCUACCCUCUUUCAUUGAUUAAUGGGAGAGUGGGCGUCAUAAUUUGUGAUAGAGGGGUACGUGUCCACGCAGCCCCUAC